GCGAUCGUAGCUCAAUUGGUAGAGCAGAAAACUUUUAAUUUUCGGGCCGUGGAUUCGAGUUCCGCCGGUCGCA
rnacentral:tRNA from 1 species